rnacentral:rRNA from 1 species
AUUGAACGCUGGCGGCAUGCCUUACACAUGCAAGUCGAACGGUAACAGGUCUUCGGAUGCUGACGAGUGGCGAACGGGUGAGUAAUACAUCGGAACGUGCCCGAUCGUGGGGGAUAACGAAGCGAAAGCUUUGCUAAUACCGCAUAAGAUCUACGGAUGAAAGCAGGGGACCGCAAGGCCUUGCGCGAGCGGAGCGGCCGAUGGCAGAUUAGGUAGUUGGUGGGAUAAAAGCUUACCAAGCCGACGAUCUGUAGCUGGUCUGAGAGGACGACCAGCCACACUGGGACUGAGACACGGCCCAGACUCCUACGGGAGGCAGCAGUGGGGAAUUUUGGACAAUGGGCGAAAGCCUGAUCCAGCCAUGCCGCGUGCAGGAUGAAGGCCUUCGGGUUGUAAACUGCUUUUGUACGGAACGAAAAGACUCUUUCUAAUAAAGAGGGUCCAUGACGGUACCGUAAGAAUAAGCACCGGCUAACUACGUGCCAGCAGCCGCAGUAA